rnacentral:rRNA from 1 species
ACGAACGCUGGCGGCAUGGAUUAGGCAUGCAAGUCGAACGCUUAUGCAUGUGUAGCAAUACAUAUGUAUGAGAGUGGCGCAAGGGUGAGGAACACGUGAGUAAUCUGCCCUCAAGUUGGGAAUAACCUUUCGAAAGAGAGGCUAAUACCGAAUGUGGCUAUAUGAUCGCAUGGUUAUAUAUCUAAAGGUUUACUGCUUGAGGAUGAGCUCGCGUCCCAUUAUGCUAGUUGGUGAGGUAACGGCUCACCAAGGCUAUGACGGGUAGGUGGACUGAGAGGUUGGUCACCCACACUGGGACUGAGAACUGCCCAGACUCCUACGGGAGGCUGCAGUCGAGAAUCUUCCGCAAUGGGCGAAAGCCUGACGGAGCAAUGCCGCGUGCAGGAUGAAGGCCUUCGGGUCGUAAACUGCUGUCACAGGGGAUGAACGCAAUGACAGUACCCUGGGAGGAAGCCACGGCUAACUACGU